rnacentral:rRNA from 1 species
UACGUAGGGGGCGAGCGUUGUCCGGAAUCAUUGGGCGUAAAGAGCUCGUAGGCGGUUCAGUAAGUCAGGUGUGAAAGCUCCGAGCUCAACUCGGAGAGGCCACCUGAUACUGCUGUGACUAGAAUCCAGUAGGGGAGUGUGGAACUCCUGGUGUAGCGGUGAAAUGCGCAGAUAUCAGGAAGAACACCAGCGGCGAAGGCGGCACUCUGGGCUGGAAUUGACGCUGAGGAGCGAAAGUGUGGGUAGCAAACGGG